UGGGGAAUUUUGGACAAUGGGCGAAAGCCUGAUCCAGCAAUGCCGCGUGUGUGAAGAAGGCCUUCGGGUUGUAAAGCACUUUUGUCCGGAAAGAAAUCCUUGGCUCUAAUACAGUCGGGGGAUGACGGUACCGGAAGAAUAAGCACCGGCUAACUACGUGCCAGCAGCCGCGGUAAUACGUAGGGUGCAAGCGUUAAUCGGAAUUACUGGGCGUAAAGCGUGCGCAGGCGGUUUGCUAAGACCGAUGUGAAAUCCCCGGGCUCAACCUGGGAACUGCAUUGGUGACUGGCAGGCUAGAGUAUGGCAGAGGGGGGUAGAAUUCCACGUGUAGCAGUGAAAUGCGUAGAGAUGUGGAGGAAUACCGAUGGCGAAGGCAGCCCCCUGGGCCAAAUACUGACGCUCAUGCACGAAAAGCGUGGGGAGCAAAACAGGAUUAGAUACCCUGGUAGUCCACGCCCUAAAACGAUGUCAACUAGUUGUUGGGGGAUUCAUUUCCUUAGUAACGUAGCUAACGCGUGAAGUUGACCGCCUGGGGAGUACGGUCGCAAGAUUAAAACUUAAAUGAAUUGACGGGGUCAUAGCUGUUUCCU
rnacentral:rRNA from 1 species